rnacentral:rRNA from 1 species
AAACUAACAAGGAUUCCCCUAGUAGCGGCGAGUGAAGCGGGAAGAGCUCAAAUUUGUAAUCUGGCGUCUUUCAGGCGUCCGAGUUGUAAUCUAUAGAAGUGUUUUCCGUGCUGGACCAUGUCCAAGUCCCUUGGAACAGGGUAUCAAAGAGGGUGACAAUCCCGUACUUGAUAUGGCCACCAGUGCUCUGUGAUACACUUUCUACGAGUCGAGUUGUUUGGGAAUGCAGCUCAAAAUGGGUGGUAAAUUCCAUCUAAAGCUAAAUAUUGGCGAGAGACCGAUAGCGAACAAGUACCGUGAGGGAAAGAUGAAAAGCACUUUGGAAAGAGAGUUAAACAGUACGUGAAAUUGUUGAAAGGGAAACGAUUGAAGUCAGUCGUGUUCAUUGGACUCAGCCGGUUCUUCCGGUCUAUUUCCUUUGAACGGGUCAACAUCAGUUUUGUCCGGUGGAUAAAGGCAGAGAGAAAGUGGCUCCCUCGGGAGUGUUAUAGCUUUUUGUCACAUACACUGGAGGAGACUGAGGACUGCAGCUCGCCUUUUGGCCGGGGUUCGCCCACGUCGAGCUUAGGAUGUGAC